AGUGAACGCUGGCGGUAGGCCUAACACAUGCAAGUCGAACGGCAGCACAGUAAGAGCUUGCUCUUACGGGUGGCGAGUGGCGGACGGGUGAGGAAUACAUCGGAAUCUACUUUUUCGUGGGGGAUAACGUAGGGAAACUUACGCUAAUACCGCAUACGACCUACGGGUGAAAGCAGGGGAUCUUCGGACCUUGCGCGAUUGAAUGAGCCGAUGUCGGAUUAGCUAGUUGGCGGGGUAAAGGCCCACCAAGGCGACGAUCCGUAGCUGGUCUGAGAGGAUGAUCAGCCACACUGGAACUGAGACACGGUCCAGACUCCUACGGGAGGCAGCAGUGGGGAAUAUUGGACAAUGGGCGCAAGCCUGAUCCAGCCAUACCGCGUGGGUGAAGAAGGCCUUCGGGUUGUAAAGCCCUUUUGUUGGGAAAGAAAAGCAGCAGGUUAAUACCCCGCUGUUCUGACGGUACCCAAAGAAUAAGCACCGGCCAACCUCGUG
rnacentral:rRNA from 1 species